rnacentral:lncRNA from 1 species
CCCAAUUCACUCUAGAUUUCUCCCUCCAAAAAGCUUCUUUAAGACUCAAAAAAAAGGGACAUAUUUUGUGUGCAAUUUUCCCAUGGGCCUAAAGAACUUCAUUAUGACCAAUGCUAGCAAACCUGAUCUGAAUUUUGUUUAGGUUUUCUACAGCAUUUCUAACUCUUUCUUGAAUGUUACCAAAAGAGGACUAGUUCCACUCCUUUAGGUUAUUUUUAAAAGCUUGACUUUUCAAUCUAGAAUUAACAUGGUGCAGCCAACGAGUAUGGUCCCCCAAGUCUUAGAAACAAUGUCUUUAUAAUCCUUUUACUCGACAAAAAUGUCUAACCUCCUUAUAAUCAAAACUGAGUAUAAUGGGAGUAAUGGUCAGAACAAUUCUUGAUGAUAGCGGUUCAAGACAAGGACGAGCAAAGAACAAUUCUUGAUGUACAAGACAAGGACGAGCAAAAGUCAAUCCAAGUUUGAUUCCCA